GGAGAGGUGCCGGAGUGGUCGAUCGGGGUGCUCUCGAAAAGCAUUGUGGCCUUGCGGUCACCGUGGGUUCGAAUCCCACCCUCUCCGCCA
rnacentral:tRNA from 1 species